AUUGAACGCUGGCGGCAGGCCUAACACAUGCACGUCGAGCGAGCGGCGGACGGGUGAGUAAUGCCUAGGAAUCUGCCUGGUAGUGGGGGAUAAAGUCCGGAAACGGGCGGUAAUACCGCAUCCCAUCAGAUGUGCCCAGAUGGGAUUGGCUGGUGGGUGGGGUAACGGCUCACCAAGGCGACGAUCACUAGCUGGUUUGAGAGGAGGACCAGCCAAACGGGAACGGAGAAACGGUCCGGACUCCUACGGGAGGAAGCAGAGGGGAUUAUUGCACAAUGGGCGAAAGCCUGAUGAAGACAGGCCGCGUGGAGGAGGAAGGCCUUGGAGUUGUAAAGUACUUUCAGCGGGGAGGCGUUAACCGCAGAAGAAGCACCGGCUAACUCCGUGCCAGCAGCCGCGGUAAUUC
rnacentral:rRNA from 1 species